rnacentral:rRNA from 1 species
UCCUGGCUCAGAGUGAACGCUGGCGGUAGGCCUAACACAUGCAAGUCGAACGGCAGCACAGUAAGAGCUUGCUCUUAUGGGUGGCGAGUGGCGGACGGGUGAGGAAUACAUCGGAAUCUACCUUUUCGUGGGGGAUAACGUAGGGAAACUUACGCUAAUACCGCAUACGACCUUCGGGUGAAAGCAGGGGACCUUCGGGCCUUGCGCGGAUAGAUGAGCCGAUGUCGGAUUAGCUAGUUGGCGGGGUAAAGGCCCACCAAGGCGACGAUCCGUAGCUGGUCUGAGAGGAUGAUCAGCCACACUGGAACUGAGACACGGUCCAGACUCCUACGGGAGGCAGCAGUGGGGAAUAUUGGACAAUGGGCGCAAGCCUGAUCCAGCCAUACCGCGUGGGUGAAGAAGGCCUUCGGGUUGUAAAGCCCUUUUGUUGGGAAAGAAAAGCAAUCGAUUAAUACUCGGUUGUUCUGACGGUACCCAAAGAAUAAGCACCGGCUAA